UUUUCGAAUUACUUUCCCUGCAUUCUCUUACUUAGCAUCCGAUUAUAGAAAUUCAUGUUGAAAUGAUCAGCUACUAGAUAUUCUGGUGGCAUGUGGGUUUGUUUGGGUUCUCUUCUUGUUAUUUCCAUGAAGGAAGGACCUAUACUACGUGCUUGAUUUUUGAAAUCAUCAUAUAACAGGUUCGCUGAGCAUAUGUUGAUAGAUUUCUGGUAUAUGCUUAUGCGGUGUACUUUUUUCCUUGUAUUCUCUAGUGAAGUGAAUGAACGUCAGCGUGCUAUACUGGAAGAGUUUGCAAAGGAAGAAAUCAACAAUGAGUUGAGUGGUUCUGCUGAAGGAAGUUGGUGGAAUCGAACGAGUCCUCAGAUCAUACGCGAUUUCUCUUUAAUCGUGCUGCUGGUGCUAUUGUUCAACAAGUUAAUGGGAUGAAACCGCCACGAGAGAUGAGAGAUAAAAGCAUUCAGCAGAAGACAACAAGACUAAUUUCAUCUAUUGCUGGAAAAACGUACAGUUCAACAGCAUAACAGAAAGGGCAAGGGUCAUGAUUUUGACUUCAUAUUUUAUCACAAACCCAUUUGAUGUGAAUAAUAAGAGACAUCCACAAGUACAGCUGAUAAAAAUAAGGAAAAAAAAAACUCCUCAAGAGUUGUGUUUU